GGGGAAUAUUGGGCAAUGGGCGCAAGCCUGACCCAGCAACGCCGCGUGAAGGAAGAAGGCUUUCGGGUUGUAAACUUCUUUUGUCAGGGACGAGUAGAAGACGGUACCUGACGAAUAAGCCACGGCUAACUACGUGCCAGCAGCCGCGGUAAUACGUAGGUGGCAAGCGUUGUCCGGAUUUACUGGGUGUAAAGGGCGUGUAGCCGGGAAGGCAAGUCAGAUGUGAAAUCCACGGGCUCAACUCGUGAACUGCAUUUGAAACUGUUUUUCUUGAGUAUCGGAGAGGCAAUCGGAAUUCCUAGUGUAGCGGUGAAAUGCGUAGAUAUUAGGAGGAACACCAGUGGCGAAGGCGGAUUGCUGGACGACAACUGACGGUGAGGCGCGAAAGCGUGGGGAGCAAAC
rnacentral:rRNA from 1 species